rnacentral:rRNA from 1 species
UGGGGAAUAUUGCACAAUGGAGGGAACUCUGAUGCAGCGACGCCGCGUGAACGAAGAAGGCUUUCGAGUCGUAAAGUUCUUUUAGAUGGGAAGAUGAUGACGGUACCAUAAGAAAAAGCCCCGGCUAACUACGUGCCAGCAGCCGCGGUAAUACGUAGGGGGCUAGCGUUGUCCGGAAUCACUGGGCGUAAAGGGUUCGCAGGCGGAAAUGCAAGUCAGGUGUAAAAGGCAGUAGCUUAACUACUGUAAGCAUUUGAAACUGCAUAUCUUGAGAAGAGUAGAGGUAAGUGGAAUUUUUAGUGUAGCGGUGAAAUGCGUAGAUAUUAAAAAGAAUACCGGUGGCGAAGGCGACUUACUGGGCUCAUUCUGACGCGGAGGAACGAAAGCGUGGGUAGCAAACAGG